CGCGGUAUUUUGACCGUGCGAAGGUAGCAUAAUCAUUAGUCUUUUAAUUGGAGGCUUGUAUGAAAGGUUGGACGAGAGAUAGGCUGUCUUUACGGAAAAAGUGAAUUUAACUUUUAGGUGAGAGGGCUUAAAUAUUUUAAAGGGACGAUAAGACCCUAUAAAGUUUGACAUUUUUUUUAUUGGGAAAUGAAGUGGGAGGGUAAUUUUUGUUAGUAGAGUGUUGUUUAGUUGGGGCGACUAGAAUAUAAAUAAUUUAACUGUUUUAUAUUUAUACAGAGAUGAUUGGAGAUUUGAUCCUUAUUAAAGGUAUUAGAGCAAAUUACUUUAGGGAUAACAGCGUAAUUUUUUUUGAGAGUUCUUAUCGACAAAAAAGUUUGCGACCUCGAUGUUGAAUUAAAGGUUCUUUGUGGCGCAGGAGCGACAAAAGAAGGUCUGUUCGACCUUUAA
rnacentral:rRNA from 1 species